rnacentral:rRNA from 1 species
CCAAUAGCGUAUAUUAAAGUUGUUGCAGUUAAAAAGCUCGUAGUUGAAUUUCGGGGUCAGUAGGUUGGUCAUGCCACUGGUAUGUACUGGUCUCACUGAUUCCUCCUUCCUGAUGAACCGUAAUGCCAUUAAUUUGGUGUUGCGGGGAGACUGGACUGUUACUUUGAAAAAAUUAGAGUGUUUAAAGCAGGCUAACGCUUGAAUACAUUAGCAUGGAAUAAUGAAAUAGGACGUUCGAUCCUAUUUUGUUGGUUUCUAGGGUUGACGUAAUGAUUAAUAGGGAUAGUUGGGGGCAUUAGUAUUCAAUUGUCAGAGGUGAAAUUCUUGGAUUUAUUGAAGACUAACUACUGCGAAAGCAUUUGCCAAGGAUGUUUUCAUUAAUCAAGAACGAAAGUUAGGGGAUCGAAGACGAUCAGAUACCGUCGUAGUCUUAACCAUAAACUAUGCCGACUAGGGAUCGGAUGAUGUUAAUUUUAUAAUGACUCAUUCGGCGCCUUACG